GAUGAACGCUGGCGGCGUGCCUAAUACAUGCAAGUCGAACGGAAAGACGAUGAGCUUGUUCCUUUGACGUUAGCGGCGGGCGGGUGAGUAACGUGUAGAUCACCUACUUAUAUUACUGGGAUAAUCACGAGACACCGGAUCUAAUACCAGAUAAUAUUACGAACCGCGUGGUGCGAUAGUGAGUGUUGGCUUUGCUGUCACUUAUAGCUGCACCUGCGCCGGAUUAGCUAGUUGGUAAGGUAACGGCUUACCAAGGCUACGAUCCGUAGCCGAGCUGAGAGGCUGAUCGGCCACACUGGAACUGAGACACGGUCCAGACUCCUACGGGAGGCAGCAGUAGGGAAUGGUAGGCAAAGGGCGAAAGCCUGACACAGCGGGGCCGCGUGAGAGACGAAGGCCUUCGGUUCGUAAAGCCCGGUUAUUGGGGAAGAACAGCCGUGGAAUUAAACGAAGCGGUCUUGACGGUACCUAAUCAAGAAGCACCGGCUAACUACGUG
rnacentral:rRNA from 1 species